rnacentral:rRNA from 1 species
GAUGGACGCUGGCGGCGUGCCUAAUACAUGCAAGUCGAGCGAACAGACGAGGAGCUUGCUCCCCUGACGUUAGCGGCGGACGGGUGAGUAACACGUGGAUAACCUACCUAUAAGACUGGGAUAACUUCGGGAAACCGGAGCUAAUACCGGAUAAUAUAUUGAACCGCAUGGUUCAAUAGUGAAAGACGGUUUUGCUGUCACUUAUAGAUGGAUCCGCGCCGCAUUAGCUAGUUGGUAAGGUAACGGCUUACCAAGGCAACGAUGCGUAGCCGACCUGAGAGGGUGAUCGGCCACACUGGAACUGAGACACGGUCCAGACUCCUACGGGAGGCAGCAGUAGGGAAUCUUCCGCAAUGGGCGAAAGCUUGACGGAGCAACGCCGCGUGAGUGAUGAAGGUCUUCGGAUCGUAAAACUCUGUUAUUAGGGAAGAACAAAUGUGUAAGUAACUAUGCACGUCUUGACGGUACCUAAUCAGAAAGCCACGGCUAACUACGUG